UACGGGGGGGGCGAGCGUUGUUCGGAAUCACUGGGCGUAAAGGGCGUGUAGGCGGCCCGCACAAGUCUGCGGUGAAAACCUCCGGCUUAACCGGGGGCCGGCCGUGGAAACUGUCGGGCUAGAGGCUGGGAGAGGGCAGCGGAAUUCCCGGUGUAGCGGUGAAAUGCGUAGAGAUCGGGAGGAACACCGGCGGCGAAGGCGGCUGCCUGGACCAGUCCUGACGCUGAGGCGCGAAAGCUAGGGGAGCAAACAGG
rnacentral:rRNA from 1 species